GAAAUGCGAUAAGUAAUGUGAAUUGCAGAAUUCAGUGAAUCAUCGAAUCUUUGAACACACAUUGCGCCCGCCAGCACUCUGGCGGGCAUGCCUGUUCGAGCGUCAUUUCAACCCUCAGAACCCCUUGCGGGAUCUGGCGUUGGGGAUUGGCAUCCAGCCAGCCCCGAAAUCUAGUGGCGGUCCCUCCGCGACCUCCCCUGUGCAGUAGCGAUACCUCGCAGCGGGACAGCGGUCUGACCACGCCGUAAAACCCCCAACUUCUCAAGGUUGACCUCGAAUCAGGUAGGAAUACCCGCUUAACUUAAGC
rnacentral:misc_RNA from 1 species